rnacentral:tRNA from 1 species
CGCGGGGUGGAGCAGCUCGGUAGCUCGCUGGGCUCAUAACCCAGAGGUCGUCGGUUCGAAUCCGGCCCCCGCUACUA